GAUGAACGCUGGCGGCGUGCUUAACACAUGCAAGUCGAACGAUGAAGCCCAGCUUGCUGGGUGGAUUAGUGGCGAACGGGUGAGUAACACGUGAGUAACCUGCCCUUAACUCUGGGAUAAGCCUGGGAAACUGGGUCUAAUACCGGAUAGGAGCGUCYACCGCAUGGUGGGUGUUGGAAAGAUUUAUCGGUUUUGGAUGGACUCGCGGCCUAUCAGCUUGUUGGUGAGGUAAUGGCUCACCAAGGCGACGACGGGUAGCCGGCCUGAGAGGGUGACCGGCCACACUGGGACUGAGACACGGCCCAGACUCCUACGGGAGGCAGCAGUGGGGAAUAUUGCACAAUGGGCGMAAGCCUGAUGCAGCGACGCCGCGUGAGGGAUGACGGCCUUCGGGUUGUAAACCUCUUUCAGUAGGGAAGAAGCGAAAGUGACGGUACCUGCAGAAGAAGCACCGGCUAACUACGUGCCAGCAGCCGCGGUAAUACGUAGGGUGCGAGCGUUAUCCGGAAUUAUUGGGCGUAAAGAGCUCGUAGGCGGUUUGUCGCGUCUGUCGUGAAAGUCCGGGGCUUAACCCCGGAUCUGCGGUGGGUACGGGCAGACUAGAGUGCAGUAGGGGAGACUGGAAUUCCUGGUGUAGCGGUGGAAUGCGCAGAUAUCAGGAGGAACACCGAUGGCGAAGGCAGGUCUCUGGGCUGUAACUGACGCUGAGGAGCGAAAGCAUGGGGAGCGAACAGGAUUAGAUACCCUGGUAGUCCAUGCCGUAAACGUUGGGCACUAGGUGUGGGGACCAUUCCACGGUUUCCGCGCCGCAGCUAACGCAUUAA
rnacentral:rRNA from 1 species